GAUGAAGAACGUAGCGAAAUGCGAUAAGUAAUGCGAAUUGCAGAUCUCCGUGAGUCAUUGAAUCUUUGAUCGCACAUUGCGCCCUCGGGUAUUCCCGAGGGCAUGCCUGUCCGAGCGUCAUUAUCCAACCAUCAAGCUCGGCUUGCGGUUGAGCCCCGCACCGUCCCCGGGACGGUGGGCUCGAAACAUGUUGGGCGCCCGUGAGGCUGUCGGUGCAGCGAGCUCUCGAGCACGUGCCGGGCAACCGCUCUGGGCGUCGGCCAGCCCCCCCAUUUUCUCAGGUUGACCUCGGAUCAGGUAGGAAUACCCGCUGAACUUAAGCAUAUCAAUAAGCGGAGGA
rnacentral:misc_RNA from 1 species